CCCCCGGAGGCUCAGCCCCUGUCCCGGAGCUCCCCCACCGGCGAGGCAGGCGGCAGGAGAAGAGGCUGUGCCUGAGGGACACCCAGGAGGGAUCAUCAGCCAGGUGUCUGUGCUGUGAGUGGUGCCCCUGUCAAGUCAGUGAGAGCUGGCUACAUGCAGACUGUUUGUCAGAGGCUGCUGCCCAUGCCUGGACCUUCUUACAAGGUUUGAUGCAAAAUUAUUUCUCUGGGACAUUUUGGAGAGGCCAGAAAAAGACAGGACACCUACACAUGUCAAUGUCCUCCAUGCUCUUUGUGAUGUAUCUGCCAACUUCAGAUGGUUUUAGUUUCUUCUCCCGGAUCCACCUUUGCUGCCUGAGCCUCCGCUCUCGCACCCGGGCGUAAAUCGGCUCCUGCUGCUGCCAGAACUCCCUGCGCUUCUCCAGAGAAGCUUCAGCAUCUUUCAGGGCAUUCUCAGUGUCUCCAAGCUUCAGGUAACAGUUUGAGCGGGCAGCCAGGCAGUCCCUGUCUCCUUCUCUCAGCUGCAGUGCCUGGAACAGAGGAGAUGUGGAAGUCACCAGUGCUGGGCCCAGCACCACACAUCCAUGUGAGCACAAGUUUGAUGCAACCUCCUGUGUCCCAGCAUGGAUCUUGAUGAUUGAUGAGGUUAAAAACAAAUUUUACUUUCUCUUUACACAUUCUCUUGAUGUUCACAUUUCUCUGCAGCUCUCCCAUCUUUCUGCACUUCCAGGAGCAUCCCCAGCACCCACCAAUUCCUCUCACUGCCCCACCUUGGCCACCUCCUUUCAUGCUGUGACCUCCGAGCGCCCUUGGGGACGUUUCCCUUCGUGCCACCACCUCGGCGGGCUACGACUCCUCACGCUGCCACCUCCUCUUACCUGGGUCCCACAUUUCUCCACGUGUCCCUCCUCUUCGUGCCGCCACCUCUGCCAACCCCUCCCGUGUGCCACCGCCACCCACAUCCCAUCGCGACCGCCACCUCCCAGUGCCACCCCGGACCCCUCACGUUGUUGUAGCAGAUCAGGGCUUUGUCGUACUCGCCCAGCCGGCACA